CCUACGGGUGGCAGCAGUGAGGAAUAUUGGUCAAUGGACGAGAGUCUGAACCAGCCAAGUAGCGUGAAGGAUGACUGCCCUAUGGGUUGUAAACUUCUUUUAUAUGGGAAUAAAAUGUUCCACGUGUGGGAUUUUGUAUGUACCCUAUGAAUAAGGAUCGGCUAACUCCGUGCCAGCAGCCGCGGUAAUACGGAGGAUCCGAGCGUUAUCCGGAUUUAUUGGGUUUAAAGGGAGCGUAGGUGGAUUGUUAAGGCAGUUGUGAAAGUUUGCGGCUCAACCGUAAAAUUGCAGUUGAAACUGGCAGUCUUGAGUACAGUAGAGGUGGGCGGAAUUCGUGGUGUAGCGGUGAAAUGCUUAGAUAUCACGAAGAACUCCGAUUGCGAAGGCAGUUCACUGGACUGCAACUGACACUGAGGCUCGAAAGUGUGGGUAUCAAACAGGAUUAGAUACCCCAGUAGUC
rnacentral:rRNA from 1 species